rnacentral:rRNA from 1 species
UACGUAGGGGGCUAGCGUUGUCCGGAAUCAUUGGGCGUAAAGCGCGCGUAGGCGGCCCGGUAAGUCCGCUGUAAAAGUCAAAGGCUCAACCUUUGAAUGUCAGUGGAUACUGCCCGGGCUAGAGUCCGGAAGAGGCGAGUGGGAACUCCCUGGUGUAGCGGUGGAAUGCGCAGAUAUCAGGAAGAACACCAACGGCGAAGGCAGCUCGCUGGGACGGAACUGACGCUAAGGCGCGAAAGCGUGGGGAGCAAACAGG